CCCUUGACGUAAGUCUCUCAGGGCGGGCUCCUGGACGUGCAGGCGAUACGGGCUGACUUGAGUACUACAGGGGAGACUGGAAUUUCUGGUGUAGCGGUGGAAUGCACAGAUAUCAGGAAGAACACCGAUGGCGAAGGCAGGUCUCUGGGUAGUAACUGACGCUGAGGAGCGAAAGCAUGGGUAGCGAACAGGAUUAGAUACCCUGGUAGUCCAUGCCGUAAACGGUGGGCGCUAGGUGUGGGGUUCCUUCCACGGGCUCCGCGCCGUAGCUAACGCAUUAAGCGCCCCGCCUGGGGAGUACGGCCGCAAGGCUAAAACUCAAAGAAAUUGACGGGGGCCCGCACAAGCGGCGGAGCAUGUGGAUUAAUUCGAUGCAACGCGAAGAACCUUACCUGGGCUUGACAUAUAGAGGAUCGCUACAGAGAUGUGGUUUCCCUUGUGGCUUCUAUACAGGUGGUGCAUGGUUGUCGUCAGCUCGUGUCGUGAGAUGUUGGGUUAAGUCCCGCAACGAGCGCAACCCUUGUCUUAUGUUGCCAGCACGUUAUGGUGGGGACUCGUGAGAACUGCCCAAAA
rnacentral:rRNA from 1 species